AUAUUGGGCAAUUGGGGCAACCCUGAUCCAGCAACGCCGCGUGAGUGAAGAAGGUCUUCGGAUUGUAAAGCACUUUAAGUAGGGAGGAAGGGCAUUAGGUUAAUACCCUGAAGUUUUGACGUUACCAACAGACUAAGCACCGGCUAACUCUGGACCAGCAGCCGCGGUAAUACAGAGGGUGCAAGCGUUAAGCGGAAUUACCGGGCGUAAAGCGCGCGUAGGUGGUUCAGUAAGAUGGGUGAGAACUCCCGGGGCGUAACCUGGGGUCUGCUUGCAUAACUGCUGAGCUAGAGUACGGUAGAGGGUAGUGGAAUUUCCUGUGUAGCGGUGAAAUGCGUAGAUAUAGGAAGGAUCACCAGUGGCGAAGGCGACUACCUGGACUGAUACUGACACUGAGGUGCGAAAGCGUGGGGAGCAAA
rnacentral:rRNA from 1 species